GGCAGUCAGAGGCGAUGAAGGACGUGCUAAUCUGCGAUAAGCGUCGGUAAGGUGAUAUGAACCGUUAUAACCGGCGAUUUCCGAAUGGGGAAACCCAGUGUGUUUCGACACACUAUCAUUAACUGAAUCCAUAGGUUAAUGAGGCGAACCGGGGGAACUGAAACAUCUAAGUACCCCGAGGAAAAGAAAUCAACCGAGAUUCCCCCAGUAGCGGCGAGCGAACGGGGAGCAGCCCAGAGCCUGAAUCAGUAUGUGUGUUAGUGGAAGCGUCUGGAAAGGCGCGCGAUACAGGGUGACAGCCCCGUACACAAAAAUGCACAUGCUGUGAGCUCGAUGAGUAGGGCGGGACACGUGGUAUCCUGUCUGAAUAUGGGGGGACCAUCCUCCAAGGCUAAAUACUCCUGACUGACCGAUAGUGAACCAGUACCGUGAGGGAAAGGCGAAAAGAACCCCGGCGAGGGGAGUGAAAAAGAACCUGAAACCGUGU
rnacentral:rRNA from 1 species